rnacentral:rRNA from 1 species
GACGAACGCUGGCGGCGUGCUUAACACAUGCAAGUCGAGCGGUAAGGCCCUUUCGGGGGUACACGAGCGGCGAACGGGUGAGUAACACGUGGGUGACCUGCCCUCAGCUCUGGGAUAAGCCUGGGAAACCGGGUCUAAUACUGGAUAUGACUCCAUGACGCAUGUUGUGGGGUGGAAAGCCUUGUGCGGCUGAGGAUGGGCCCGCGGCCUAUCAGCUUGUUGGUGGGGUGANGGCCUACCAAGGCGACGACGGGUAGCCGGCCUGAGAGGGCGACCGGCCACACUGGGACUGAGACACGGCCCAGACUCCUACGGGAGGCAGCAGUGGGGAAUAUUGCGCAAUGGGCGAAAGCCUGACGCAGCGACGCCGCGUGAGGGAUGAC